GAUGAACGCUGGCGGCGUGCCUAAUACAUGCAAGUCGAGCGAACAGACGAGGAGCUUGCUCCUCUGACGUUAGCGGCGGACGGGUGAGUAACACGUGGAUAACCUACCUAUAAGACUGGGAUAACUUCGGAAAACCGGAGCUAAUACCGGAUAAUAUCUUGAACCGCAUGGUUCAAUAGUGAAAGACGGUUUUGCUGUCACUUCUAGCUGGAUCCGCGCCGCAUUAGCUAGUUGGUAAGGUAACGGCUUACCAAGGCAACGAUGCGUAGCCGACCUGAGAGGGUGAUCGGCCACACUGGAACUGAGACACGGUCCAGACUCCUACGGGAGGCAGCAGUAGGGAAUCUUCCGCAAAGGGCGAAAGCCUGACGGAGCAACGCCGCGUGAGUGAUGAAGGUCUUCGGAUCGUAAAACUCUGUUAUUAGGGAAGAACAAAUGUGUAAGUAACUAUGCACGUCUUGACGGUACCUAAUCAGAAAGCCACGGCUAACUACGUG
rnacentral:rRNA from 1 species